rnacentral:rRNA from 1 species
UUCCGGUUGAUCCUGCCGGAGGCUACCGCUAUUGGAGUUCGAUUAAGCCAUGCGAGUCGCGAGAAAUUAGAUUCUCGGCGUACCGCUCAGUAACACGUGGGUAACCUGCCCUAUGCUGGAUAAUAACCUCGGGAAACUGAGAAUAAUGAUCCAUAGUUCACUACGCCUGGAACGGUGAGUGGAUGAAAGCCCCGGCGGCAUAGGAUGGGCCUGCGGCGUAUCAGGUUGUAGGGGGUGUAACGUACCCUCUAGCCCUCUACGCGUACGGGUGUUGGGAGACAUAGCCCGGAGAUGGAUUCUGAGACACGAAUCCAGACCCUACGGGGUGCAGCAGGCGCGAAAACUUGGCAAUGCGAGAAAUCGUGACCAGGGAACUCCAAGUGCAUCGGGUAAGACCGGUGCUUUUCUUGACUCUAAAUAGGUCUUGGAAUAAGGGGUGGGUAAGGACGGUGCCAGCCGCCGCGGUAAUACCGGCGCCUCAAGUGGUAGUCGCUUUUAUUGGGCCUAAAACGUCCGUAGCCGGUCUGAUACAUUCGUGGGUAAAUCAACCAGCUCAACUGGUUGAAUUCUGCGAGGACGGUCAGACUUGGGACCGGGAGAGGUGUGGGGUACGCUCAGGGUAGGGGUAAAAUCCUGUCAUCCUGAGCGGACCACCUGUUGCGAAGGCGCCACACUAGAACGGAUCCGACGGUCAGGGACGAAGCCUAGGGGCACGAACCGGAUUAGAUACCCGGGUAGUCCUAGGUGUAAACGCUGUGGACUUGAUGUUGGGGACGCUCCGAGCGUUCUCAGUGUCGAAGCGAAGGUGAUAAGUCCACUGCCUGGGGAGUACGGUCGCAAGGCUGAAACUUAAAGGAAUUGGCGGGGGAGCACCGCAACCUGAGGAUUGUGCGGUUUAAUUGGAUUCAACGCCGGA